AAAUAAUUUUUGUAGCGUAAAAGCUAAAUAAAUUCAUACAUACUGUAAUAAAGAUAACCAAAGUAUAAAAUUUAAUUUAUAGUGACACGUGGGCCCAUGAACGACCAAAAGUAUCAAAAGCGAUAAACCUACAGUUUUUGAGGAUGCAAGUGCAACUGUAGCCCUCAAUAAAGUGAGCUAUCUACCUACUAUCCUGAGCCUGAAAUGGGUGGAAAGGAGGGUGGUGAGAUUAUAUAAUCCCAGUGAGUAAACAAAUAUCAUCUAAAAUAUCUAAAGCCUAGUAAAUGGAGACAGAUUAAAAUAGAUUAUCAUACUGUAAUUCAUCACCUUUCGACUCAUUUCAAUCAAAUAAAAUUAAUUCAUAUAAAUCGAGUAAUCAACAUGGCUUAUGAAUUUCUUAAAAGCUUCGGCUCGUGCCAAAAUCAUUCUCAUACUCAGUUGUCAAGGAUACUUUGGCCUUGGGCUAUCCCAAUAGAGUCCGCCAAGGCUGUUAAAAAGUCAUGUACGCAUAAAUCAUAUUUUUAUUUUGAAAACAUAGUCGUUCCUUGGCGUUGACUGAGUUCACCCUCACGUGGUGGUUUGGCGUGAAGUGAACUCUAAAGUUGUACCUCGGAAGUUACCCUACACGCCUCUACGACCGAGAUAAGAAUAUAACGGGGUAACCGUACCCUUCUAAUAGGCUGGUCAACAAAACCCGCCCACUGCAGCAAACUAAACCCACCAAUUCAAUAAAAUCUCAACCGCAUGACAUGGCAAUUAUAUCACAAUCCAGCAUCUCAAGGCUAAAUACACAAUUCAUAUAUUUCAACACAAAUACCAAUUCAGCCAUUCAUGCAAAUAUUGUCAUAAGCCAUUCGAUUCAAACCAUGAAUUUACAACACAUGAAAAUAGUCUCCAGUUACUCUAUUUUCAAACCAUCAUUCAAUUUCAAGACAAUGUUAUAAAAUCAUUUCAUUAAAUCACAUUUUAAUUACAAAACACAAAGAUUUACCAUUUAACUCAUUUUUCAUAAAAUCACAAAAUCGGAUAAAAACCACUUUAGAUAAUUAAGAUGAUAGUAAGGUUCCUCACUAUUUUGGGAGUCGAAUUCCGAGUACUCCAAUUCUUGAUCCUCGGGUGCUAUCUAUUUACUUUUGCCAGAAAGCUCACCACCUAGACAUAAUGCACAAUAAGCCAUUUACUACAUUUGUGCUAAAUUGUUAUAAAACCAAUUCAGACUCUAUACUAAUGCAUGAAAUGGGAUGUGCAAUACUCGAGUAACUAUCUAAAUACGGUGUUCAAUAUAAAUUCAAUUAUGCACCUAAAUAAAACGGUAUUGGCCUAAUUCGAUCUAUCACUCGAUUAAUUUGCCAAUAUGUCCAAUUCAACUCCAAUUAACUCCAUUUUUCUUCCAAUUCUCCAAACCAUCAAACACAAAUUAAAUAACUUGAAAUAUGGCAAAAUCAUCCUCACAUUUGCUCUUGGAAAAUUUGGCCAUGGUGGGUGCAUUAAUACUAUGAUUUUUCCUACUUGAUUUUCUCACCGUAAUUCAUAAUUUCCUAACCAAUUCACUUGAAAUAAAAUCAAAUCCACCAUCCAUACUCUACAUGGAAGAUUCGGCCGAUGAUGGGUUACGGAAGAACAUGAAUUUUUCUUGUUUGUUUUUCAUGCUACACAUCAUUAACUAACUAAAAACACUAAAAUACAUUGAAAUCUAACCAAAUCCAAGUUCAAAACUCCUCCCCCCAUGUCCGGCCAGCAAGGGUAUCCUCAUGCAAACUUGAUUCCCAACCAUGGAAAAUGAAAAAGAAUGGAUAGGAAAGGUAAAUCACAAGCUAGAAUUGUAAAAUCUUACCUUUUGUCACUUGAUUCUUUGAAAUUUUGUGAAUUUCUCUUGAAUUUCUUAGCUAGGUUUUUGUUCUUCUUCUUUUCUUCCCUUUUCUUCCUUUGGCCAGCCAAGAGAAAUGAGUUGGGAGGGUUAUGGGCUGAUUUUUAAAGCCAAAUAAUAAAUGGAUGAGAAUUUGACACAUGUCACCAUUCUAUUGGCCCAUGUGUUAUACUUACCCAUUAAGCAAUCUCUCUCCACCAUUUAAAAUUCCUCAACUAUCCAUAAUAAUAAUGGGUGAAUUUCAUGUGCUGGACAAGUGUUGGGUGUGUAAAAUUAUAAUUUUGCCCCUAGGGUGGCAAAAUGACUAUUUUACCCUUAUCCUCAAAAAAAUGUCGAAAUUAAAAUUUUUCACUUCUUAAACUCAAAUUAUACUCCAAAUGAUCAAUCUUAGUCAAAAAUUUCAUCCAACACUCACAUCUUAACCUCGAGUGGUAAAAUGACCAUUUUGCCUUUGGGUCAUGAAAAUUCCAAUUUGACUCUAAAUCGGUCCUCGAACUCCGAAUCACCAUUUUCAGUCAUUCUAGGGUUUUAAAAUUCUCAAUUUCAUCUUAAAAUCUCUAUUUGGACUAGUUCGAGGCUUAAUUCAACUUAAUUGUACCAUUUGGUACAUUGUCAUCCUUUAACGAUUUUCGAGGUACCCAAGUAAGCAAACAUGCAUUCUUAUGUAAGAAUGGCAUAAUAAACAUAUUGUAGAGCUGGGAUUGAUAGCACUACCCCCAUUAAAAUAAAAUUUUAACCUAAAAAUUUCAUUUACUGAACUUAGAGAAAAGGUGAGGGUAUUGUUUUCUCAUCUAAUGCUCGACUUCUUAUGUCCUCCCCUUUAUAGGGAAUUUCGAUUUGUUCAUCUCAUUUACCUCCAAUUUAACUCGAGUACUUCACUUAUGUCUAUUAUUAUCCUUUAAAAUCAGAUCAACAGUAACCUUCACAAUUAUGAUCUUUUAUAUCGAGACACCAAACAUGCUUCUAUUACUAUCAUUAAACUUGAACCAUAACUCCAUCUCAAUCAUACCAAUUUUGAUCGCAUUUUAUACUUAUUUAUGUAUACCAAUCACCAUCUUAUUGCUUCAUUCCAUAUCAAAUUUCUCGACAUUCAUUCAUUCCAUCUUAAUACAAUAAUGUGUAGUUUACAGUAUCAUUAACAUGACACACUCAUACCUGUAUAUAUCCUCAACGUUAGGGAAGGUUAAUGGCUUCAAUUAUUUCCACAUACUUCUUGUUUACCUUACAUCUAGGAAAUUUCAAUCUUCUUAAUCCUACUAAUCCAUCUCAUAUGGCUUAAUCACACUAUAGAUUACAUUCCCUUAACUAUUUCCCCAAAAUUCCUUAGGUCGCCAUAAAUCGACUUCUGAUAAGAUUCUUGAUCAUUACAUUAUCUAUACAACUCAUCAAAUAUAUUGAGUUCAAAUCUCGAACCACUAAAACCAUUCUUCAUUUUGGUUGGGUACAUCACUAACUCCACACAUACGUAUACACGCACAUUCAAAUGUCCAUAUUCCUCAUUAUGUAUACGAGUCUCUGUUUUCAAAUGCCUUUAGACUAAUUUCUCUUUGUUCAUUCCCAUCCCUAACCAAGAUUCAAUAGAAUAAUCUUCAUAAUUCAUACAAAUUCUCAUUAUGCCUGUGCAUAGUUCCACAUCAUUUACGUACUUAUACUCUCUUCUUAUCAUAUCCAAUUAUAUGCUUAAGUUUCCUUGUACUAUAUAUCAUUGCAUCACAAUGUCAUCUCCAUUGAAUUAUAAUCUAUUAUGUGUGUAUGCUUUAUAAUCCCAUUGAUGUCUCAAAGAUUUAUCUUAACUUGAACAUUGCAUCUUAUGCAAUACCACAAAUCCUAAGAGUCAUCCUUUUUCCUCGAUUAUCCUUCAUGCCUCUACAUUACCUUGUAUCCUUCUUACAUUCUGAUAUUGAUUUGUCACUUAAAACUUAGACUCAUUUGAAUCAUGUAUGCCUUCAGCAUUUCGAAUUCCAAUUUCCAUAAUAUAUUAGGAAAGUUUCAUUAUCUGACUUCAUUAUCAAGGUUAACUUUAAUCAUCCUUUGUUGCACUCUUUCAUACAAUAUAACAUCAUUCUCCCUUAGCCAAUUUAUAAAUUGCACUUGAAAUUGCAAAACUUGAAACUAGAUUCUCCUUAAGUACUUUUCAAUAUUAAUACUAAUAUUACUCUCAGCUUACAGCUUCCUUUUUAUAACCACAUAACUUAGUGCUUGCUUUCACGAGAUCCAUGGAAGAACUUCUCUUGAGUAUUUCCUUGGGGAUAUCUAUCUUAAACUUAUGUCUCACAGCAUGUGUUCACUUAAUCCAUGACUUAGCCGUUUGGCUCCUUAGCAAGUUUCAAAAUCACACAUCUUAUACUCAUCUCAUAUAAUUUAUAAUUCUUUCUCGACGGUGUUUAAACAUUCUUGAAACACUUAAUCACUUAUUUGCUUUUUCAUACUCCAAGUAUAUCAUUUCCAUAAAGGCAUGCACUUGCUCACCAAAAUAUUUAAAUGCAUGCUUAACUACUCAUGCUUCAACUUAUCUCCAAGGGUUUCUAGCAUACCACGUCGUUUACUUGUGUUGUCACUAAUCCUUUCCUUUCAACAAGGUCAAGACAAGAUUUGUAAAUUCUCAUAACAAUAUUCUGUAUAAACUCAUUUACUAUAUCAUCCUUGAAAUCUUUAUUCACACUUUCAUCACUUGGUAUUGACAUCUCUUAUCAAUAUCUCAUACAUUCAUCUAACUUUUCACUCGUUUUCUCUUUAGUCUUUAACAAGGCUUAAUCUCUUGUCUUCUUUAUUUCUUAAGGUUUGACUUCAAUCAACAUAUUAUUCAUCUUAACACUUCACAUGUUAAUUUAUUUUUAUGUAGCCAUCUCAAAAACUCUUUAACUUUUCUUUCUCUUACAUGCCAAUAUAUAAGGCAAUAAAGAAACUUUGCAAUUUCACUCAUCAUCUUUAUCUUAAUACCUUCCUAAUGCACUUAAGACUCCAAACAACAAAGCUUAGCAUCAAAACCAAUGACCAUUCUUCAACUCGUGAGUUUCAUCUUCAUGCCACUCCCAAUUUGCUUGUGCUUUCUAGCCAUAAAGGAUUCUUAACCAAUUACAUUUAUAAACCGGAUAAUUCACUUAAUUAUUACAUCUUGUCCAUGCAGUUAUAAGAUCAAGAUAUCUCGAAUUUAGGAUGCAGAAGUUCCCUCCUAGAGAAUAUCCAAAAAUCCACAUAUUUCAAGUCCCACCUUAGGACAUCUUUCCCAUAUGGUGUAAUGAAUUCACAAUAUAUGCAUCAUCAUACGCAUAAUUACUUAUCAUUUAUGGUAUCUCACUAUUUUCAUUAUCCAUUUCUGAUCAUCUUCCUUGUCUUAUAACUCCAAUAGUUUAUUAACUUCUAGUAUAAAGACCACGAAAAUAGUUCAUCUUUCACUACAUUUAUACUCACAAUCCUUAUUAAUCAAAAAUUUAUCUUUUUCAAGUUCCUUCAUUUAUCUCUAAUGGACCAUAUUUGUAUUAGAUUAUCUUCCUAUAAUGUUAUGGCAUCAUUUUAUACUUCCUCCACCCUCAAGCUUACAAUCUUUGACUUUAUCACAUUAAUCGCUCAAAAUGUCAUCUAGAGCCUCAUUGAUUUCUUCCAUAUCCUUUCGAAUUGUAACUACAAUUAAGAUUCCCAAUUUCACAUCUCCAUGAUUGAUUGUUAGUCUUACCACACUGUCUCCCAAUAUCCUAUGCAAUUACAACACACUGAACCCGCUUAUUAUAACAUAGCCCCCUAGUUCAAUGUGUUUGCUCGGGAAUCAUCUUCUCUGAUAUAAUUUGUCCCAUAAAAUAGAAUUUCAUUUAUUUAGCUUUGCAUUCGGAAUCAUAUCAAAACUCACAUACUACGAUAAGUAAUAAUUUCCAAUAGACAUCAUCAGUUCAAAUGGCAUUUUAUACCUCGUCAAAAUCUAGGGUUAUCACUCUAAAAGUUCAUCACGUUAAUCGGUAUCCAUUUCUUAGUACUGCAAAAUACAUUCAUUGUUAAUUAAGGUGAUUGCUUAAAUCAUUAAUGACUUUCCACAUCAGUCUUCAAUAAUUAUUUAAGAUGAUCAACCAUGCCACUAAGAUAAAUAUAUUUCCUUAAUAGUCAUAAUGCUAAUCCAGUUCUGUCCUACCAAAAGAUUCCCAUAUACCUCCAGUCACUUAAACAGCUACUUUAUAAUACAUUCUAGUCAUACACUUUAAAAGUCAAACUAUUAACUUCUUUGUACAAAUAACUACUACAUCUUCCCUUAAAUGACACUUGCCUAAACUUAUGGUGAUACGAACUUCAACAAAGGUAUUAAGUAUCCUUAGGAUCCUCUUCCAGGUCCUCCUCCUGAGAUUUUCUCAUUUGUUCCUCAUUCCAAGCUUGUUGUAUUCUCUUGCAUUCUUCGUCACUCACAGGUGCAACAUUUUUUCCAUAACCGGGAGGAAAAUAUCGUACAACAUUCACCUUCCUAUGGGGAUAAUUUGCAACAAUUAUUUUCUCCUUGUUCUUUUCUUGUUGUUCCUUUACAUUCAUCCCACAGCUUGGAGGAUAGUGUCGAACAACUGACACGCCCUUCCUAGGAUGAAUACCUCCCCUUGCAAUUGCCUUCCUCGCCCAUUCUCUAUGGUACUCUUCAGGUUGUUUCAAAAGGAAAUCUUUUACAGUUUUCGGAGUAUCGGUGCUGCUCUCACUUUCAAAAUUCUCGCUACUCUCGAAGCUUUCCUUAUUACGAAACCAUUCUGGUUUACCUAGUUAGGGCACCAUUGGCUCUUAGCAGUGGAAUCUAAUGAUCCCUCACAAGCACUAUGAGGGGUAUCGGGACUACUGCCUCUUCUAGACAUGCUCUGAUACCACUCUAAUUUUCACGACUCGGUACUUCCCUCGAGCUCUUGACAACCGCCGCGGUGUUCCGAUCGACACUCAUUACUCGAAAUGUCAACCUAAAUCCUGCAAAGUUUUAAUAUCAGUUUCUCAUUUCCCUUGUGAGUAAUCAUUGCCAAAUAUCAUGUUCUAAAAGAUUUUAAGCUAUUCCAACUUAAAUCAAUAAAAAAAAUAAUUUCUGUCUCACAAGGGCAUUUUGGUCAUUUUUCUCUGAAAAUUUUGAAACUAGCUAAAAAUGUAGUAUGCGAGUAUAAAACACAUAAUUCAUAAUCAAAAAUAAGUUUAAACGUCUAAAACCUUCAUUUAAAAUGAAAUUAUGACUAUUUGAAUAUAAUAAAAAUAUUCAAAAAAAUAUUAUAUUUUCUUAUAAAAUAAUAUUUAUACAGUUACUGGUAAAUAAUUUUUAGAGCGUAAAAGCUAAAUAAAUUCAUACAUACUGUAAUACAGAUAACCAAAGUAUAAAAUUUAAUUUACAGUGACACGUGGGCCCACGAACGACCAAAAGUAUCAAAAGCGAUAAACCUACAGUUUUUGAGGAUGCAAGUCCAACUGUAACCCUCAACAAAGUGAGCUAUCUAUCGACUAUCCUGAGCCUGAAAUGGGUGGAAAAGAGGGUCGUGAGAUUAUAUAAUCCCAGUGAGUAAACAAAUAGCACCUAAAAUAUCUAAAGCCGAGUAAAUGGAGAUAGAUUAAAAUAGAUUAUCAUAUUGUAAUUCAUCACCUUUCAACUCAUUUCAACCAAAUAAAAUCAAUUUAUACAAAUCGAGUAAUCAACAUGGCUUAUGAAUUUCUUAAAAGCUUCGGCUCAUGCCAAAAUCAUUCUCAUACUCGGUUGUCAGGGAUACCUUGGCCUGGGGCUAUCCCAACCGAUUCCGCCAAGGCCGCUAAAAAGUCAUGUACGCAUAAAUCAUGUUUUUAUUUUGAAAACACAGUCGUUCCUUGGCGUUGGCUGAGUUCACCCUCACGUGGUGGUUUGGCAUGAAGUGAACUCUAAAGUUGUACCUCGGAAGUUACCCUACACGCCUCUCCGACCCAGGUAAGAAUAUAACGGGGUUACCGUGCCCUUCUAAUAGGCUGAUCCACGAAACUCGCCCACUACAGCAAGCUAAACCCACCAAUUCAGUAAAAUCUCAACCGCAUGACAUGGCAAUUAUAUCACAAUCCAGCCCCUCAAGCUAAAUACACAGUUCAUAUAUUUCAACACAAAUACCAAUUCAGCCAUUCAUGCAAAUACUGUCAUAAACCAUUCAAUUCAAACCAUGAAUUUACAACACAUGAAAACAGUCUCCAAUUACUCUAUUUUCGAACCAUCAUUCAAUUUCAAGACAAUGUUAUAAAAUUAUUUCAUUAAAUCACAUUUUAAUUACAAAACACAAAGAUUUACCAUUUAACUCAUUUUUCAUAAAAUCACAAAAUUGGAUAAAACCCACUUUAGAUAUUUAAGAUGAUAGUAAGGUUACUAACUAUUUCGGGAGUCAAAUUCCAUGUACUCUGAUUCUUGAUCCUCGGGUACUAUCUUUUUACUUUUGCCAGAAAGCUCACCACCUAGACAUAAUGCACAAUAAGCCAUUUACUACAUUUGUGCUAAAUUGUUAUAAAACCAAUUCAGGCUCUAUACUAAUGUAUGAAAUGGGAUGUGAAAUACUCGGGUAACUAUCUAAAUACGGUGUUCAAUAUAAAUUCAAUUAUGUACCUAAAUAAAACGGUAUUGGCCUAAUUCGAUCUAUCACUCGUUUAAUUGGCCAAUAUGUCCAAUUCAACUCCAAUUAACUCCAUUUUUCUUCCAAUUCUCCAAACCAUCAAACACAAAUUAAAUAACUUGAAAUAUGGCAAAAUCAUCCUCACAUUUUCUCUUGGAAAAUUCGGCCAUGGUGGGUGCAUCAAUACUAUGAUUUUUCCUACUUGAUUUUCUCACCGUAAUUCAUCAUUUCCUAACCAAUUCACUUGAAAUAAAAUCAAAUCCACCAUCCACACUCUACAUGGCAGAUUCUGCUAAUGAUGGGUUAUGGAAGAGUAUGAAUUUUUCUUAUUUGUUUUUCAUGCUACACAUCAUUAACUAACUAAAAACACUAAAAUACAUUGAAAUCUAACCAAAUCCAAGUUCAAAAUUCCUCCCCCUAUGUCCGGCCAGCAAGGGUAUCCUCAUGCAAACUUUAUUCUCAACUAUGGAAAAUGAAAAAGAAUGCAUAGGAAAGGUAAAUCACAAGCUAAAAUUGAAAAAUAUUACAUUUUGUCACUUGAUUGUUUGAAAUUUUGUGAAUUUCUCUUGAAUUUCUUAGCUAGGUUUUUGUUCUUCUUCUUUUCUUCCCUUUUCUUCCUUUGGCCGGCCAAGAGAAAU
rnacentral:lncRNA from 1 species